rnacentral:rRNA from 1 species
GAUGAACGCUGGCGGCGUGCUUAACACAUGCAAGUCGAACGGUGAACGAGGGAGCUUGCUCCCUCCGGAUCAGUGGCGAACGGGUGAGUAACACGUGAGCAAUCUGCCCUGGACUCUGGGAUAAGCGUUGGAAACGACGUCUAAUACCGGAUACGAGGCGUGGGGGCAUCGCCAACGCCUGGAAAGAAUUUCGGUUCGGGAUGAGCUCGGGGCCUAUCAGCUAGUUGGUGAGGUAACGGCUCACCAAGGCGACGACGGGUGGCCGGCCUGAGAGGGUGACCGGCCACACGGGGACUGAGGCACGGCCCAGACUCCUACGGGAGGCAGCAGUGGGGAAUAUUGCGCAAUGGGCGAAAGCCUGACGCAGCGACGCCGCGUGUGGGAUGACGGCCUUCGGGUUGUAAACCACUGUCGGGAGGGACGAAGAUCUGACGGUACCUCCAAAGGAAGCACCGGCUAACUCUGUGCCAGCCGCCGCGGUAAGAC